UACGUAGGGGGCCAGCGUUGCUCGGAAUUACUGGGCGUAAAGGGUUCGUAGGCGGUUCGGCAAGUUGGGUGUGAAAUCUCUGGGCUUAACUCAGGGGCUGCUUUCAAAACUGCCGCGCUCGAGUGCGAGAGAGGUCAGUGGAAUUGCAGGUGUAGCGGUGAAAUGCGUAGAUAUCUGCAGGAACACCCGUGGCGAAGGCGGCUGACUGGAUCGCAACUGACGCUGAGGAGCGAAAGCAUGGGGAGCGAACAGG
rnacentral:rRNA from 1 species